GGCACUUUGGCGGAGUGGUUAACGCGUAAGUUGCCGUCAAUAUGGUCUUCUAAUUCUCAAAUUUCUGACUUUAUACGCAGGAUGCCCUGCUAUUACCCUUCUGGGAAGCCAGGCAUUUCCCUCGGGAGCGUGAGUUCGAAUCUCACAGGUGUCG
rfam:Aspergillus ustus strain 3.3904 ATSC_29, whole genome shotgun sequence.